CCCCUGGUGGUCUAGCAGUUAAGAUUUUGUACUUCCAAUGCAAGGGGCACAGGUUUGAUCCCUGAUCAAGGAA
rnacentral:tRNA from 1 species